rnacentral:rRNA from 1 species
CUCAGUAACGGCGAGUGAAGCGGUAACAGCUCAAAUUUGAAAUCUGGCCUCACGGUCCGAGUUGUAAUUUGUAGAGGAUGCUUCGAGCAUGGUCUGGCCUAAGUUCCUUGGAACAGGACGUCAUAGAGGGUGAGAAUCCCGUAUGCGGCCAGGUGCCUACGCUCAUGUGAAGCUCCUUCGACGAGUCGAGUUGUUUGGGAAUGCAGCUCAAAAUGGGUGGUAAAUUUCAUCUAAAGCUAAAUAUUGGCCAGAGACCGAUAGCGCACAAGUAGAGUGAUCGAAAGAUGAAAAGCACUUUGGAAAGAGAGUUAAACAGUACGUGAAAUUGUUGAAAGGGAAGCGCUUGCAACCAGACUUGCGCGCGGCCGAUCAUCCGGUGUUCUCACCGGUGCACUCGGCCGUGCUCAGGCCAGCAUCGGUUUUGGCGGCUGGAUAAAGGCCCUAGGAAUGUGGCUCCUCUCGGGGAGUGUUAUAGCCUAGGGUGCAAUGCAGCCUGCUGGGACCGAGGACCGCGCUUCGGCUAGGAUGCUGGCGUAAUGGUUGUAAGCGGCCCGUCUUGAAACACGGACCAAGGAGUCUAACAUCUAUGCGAGUGUUUGGGUGUCAAACCCAUACGCGUAAUGAAAGUGAACGGAGGUGAGAACCCUUAAGGGUGCAUCAUCGACCGGUCCUGAAGUUUACGGAAGGAUCUGAGUAAGAGCAUAGCUGUUGGGACCCGAAAGAUGGUGAACUAUGCCUGAAUAGGGUGAAGCCAG